GACGAACGCUGGCGGCGUGCCUAAUACAUGCAAGUCGAACGCAGUGGGGACGGGUGAGUAACACGUGGGUAACCUCCCAUCAGAGGGGAUAACACUUGGAAACAGGUGCUAAACAGAUACUGAGGGAUGAACCCGCGGUGCAUGAGCUAGUUGGUGAGGUAACGUCGCACAAAGGCGACGAGGCAUAGCCGACCUGAGAGGUUGAUCAGCCACACUGGUACUGAGACACGGCCCAGACUCCUACGGGAGGCAGUAGUAGGGUAUCUUCGGCAAUGGACGAAAGUCUGACCGAGCAACGCCGCGUGAGUGAAGAAGGUUUUCGGAUCGUAACACUCUGUUGUUAGAGAAGCGGUAUCUAACCAGAAAGCCACGGCUAACUACGUGCCAGCAGCCGCGGUAAUUC
rnacentral:rRNA from 1 species